rnacentral:rRNA from 1 species
GUAAUAGAUACAUUCUUGAAACCCAAAGAAUUUGGCGGUAUUUUAGUCCUUCCAGAGGAAUCUGUCCCGUAAUCGACAGCCCACGAAUAGAGUUACUUAGUUUUGUUUAGUCAGUUUGUAUACCUUCGUCAUAAGAGUAUCUUUUUAGAGAUAAUUUUCUUAAUAUACUUGUUAUAGUAUGUCAGAUCAAGGUGCAAUUUAUAAUUAAGUGGAGAUGGAUUACAAUAAAUUUAUUUAAAUGGAUUAAUUUAUUUAAAAUUUUAUGAAGGUGGAUUUGGUAGUAAUGUUAUUAUAUUAUUAAUUUGAUUUUGGCUCUAAAAUAUGCACACAUC